AUGAACGCUGGCGGCGUGCCUAAUACCUGCCAGUCGAGCGAACAGACGAGGAGCUUGCUCCUCUGACGUUAGCGGCGGACGGGUGAGUAACACGUGGAUAACCUACCUAUAAGACUGGGAUAACUUCGGGAAACCGGAGCUAAUACCGGAUAAUAUAUUGAACCGCAUGGUUCAAUAGUGAAAGACGGUUUUGCUGUCACUUAUAGAUGGAUCCGCGCCGCAUUAGCUAGUUGGUAAGGUAACGGCUUACCAAGGCAACGAUGCGUAGCCGACCUGAGAGGGUGAUCGGCCACACUGGAACUGAGACACGGUCCAGACUCCUACGGGAGGCAGCAGUAGGGAAUCUUCCGCAAUGGGUGAAAGCCUGACGGAGCAACGCCGCGUGAGUGAUGAAGGUCUUCGGAUCGUAAAACUCUGUUAUUAGGGAAGAACAAAUGUGUAAGUAACUAUGCACGUCUUGACGGUACCUAAUCAGAAAGCCACGGCUAACUACGUG
rnacentral:rRNA from 1 species